UUAUUUAAAAUAAUUUGUUUAUAAUUUAUCCAUAUAUAUUUAUAUAUAUAGACAAAAACCUUACGCAAAACCUAAUUCCCCUUUUGCUUAGUUCACUUCUUCAGUUCUUCUUCUCUAUCGCGAAAGAAAGAGAGAGAUUGAAUGACAAUCAAACUCACACACACAAGCUUUUGCCAUCGCUGACAAUCACUCACGUCCACGCCCGCUACCGCCGUUGUGACUUCCAUUCAAGUGUGCCGACCCCACAACUUGUAGCCGUUCUCAAUUUGGUUCCUCGAUCCAACUGCUGUUCGUUGCCUGUGACUUCAUUCGCCAUCGUUAGCUAUCAAAACUACAUUUCCUAUAUGAGCACAAAUCUUUCAUUUUACAUUCUUUUCUUAUCUAAUUUUUGUUAUAAUUUUUUGGAUUUAAGUGUCCAUGGAGAUGGUAAUUUUCCCUGACUAUCUAAUUUUUAUAUAAUUCUGUAAAAAUAUUUUGUUUUGCUUGUCUGCUUUGGCAUAAUUGUGCUUGGUUGAAGCUGUGAUAUAGUUUUAUAAGUCUACAUUUUUUCAUCUUUUGUGCACUCUUGCAAUUCCAAGUUCUAGAAGUGUCUAUAUUUUUUUUUUUUCUCGUUAUGAUGAUGUGUCAAUUUAUCCUUGUGUGCUUUGCUGUCUGUUGAUAAAGGGAGGUAGUCUAUGUUAUGUGGUUAUGUGUGGCAAGUUUAGGGGUUUGGGGAUCAUAAAUUUGUAUUGGAACUCUCUCCACC
rnacentral:lncRNA from 1 species